AAAAAUGCUCAAUACAGCAGACGGUGGAUGCCUUGGCGAAGAAAGCCUAAGAAGGACGUGGAAGGCUGCGAAAAGUCUCGGGGAGCUGUCACACAAGCUUCGAUCCGGGAAUAUCCGAAUGGGGAAACCUAGCUAGUGAAGAACUAGUUGUCCGUUACUGAAAUUAUUCAUCCUUGUGAUGUGUAUAUUAGGUACCGGUUGGGAACCAGCUGAAGUGAAUCAUCUCAGUAAGCUGAGGAAAAGAAAUUAUUCCCUUAGUAGCGGUGAGCGAAAGGGGAGGAGCCCAAACCUCGACGCAAUAGUCGGGGGGUUGUAGGACUCUUCAAAAUGAUACAGUUGAUAGUAGAAGCAGAU
rnacentral:rRNA from 1 species